GUUCGCUCUCAGUAGCGCCUAGCUCAUAGCGCCGGCAACACGAGAUAAGUUAAGAGUCUCAGUCCGCCUCUAGUUUGUGCACAAGAGUUUACUGCACUCUUACGACAAGUGUUAAAGCUAUAAUAUGCGGACAUCUUUGCACUAAGAUUUUAACAGAUAUCAAGAAAGUGUAGGUUGUGUGUUACAUUUUUCAGUGCAUUAGCCUUUUUCGCUGUUUUUAUAAAACACAGAUCUAAUGGAGAAGCGACAUUAUGAAUUAAGUGUUACUGACUGCCUGUCGGUAAUGUGAGUGCAACGCGAUGGCAGUACCACCAGUAAAGUGUUUGACAUUAGCCUGUUGUUAAACGAGUAAAACAAAGUGAAAAGAUCAUCAUUCUGAGCUGACUUCAGGGGAAAACGACUUCGAAAAACAGAGACGAGAAAAUGGGAAGCAAGUUUCAGCAGGUUGUGAGACACAGAUGGAGACGUUUCCCGCAGUCUCAGCUCUUGUCAUGUUCUCGAUUUGUGAUGCUGUUUGCCUUGCCUCUGAUCUUCACCUGCGUUCUGCACACAGCUAGCGCUC